rnacentral:lncRNA from 1 species
CUCAGCGAGAUAUUAAUCACGUGUAUAUUCAGAGGCCUGGCAUCCCAGUGAACUUUCCUGGGGCCUAAUGAGUCAAGAAAAGAGCCUGACAUGAACUAACUGCUCAAUAACUAUUUGUUGCAUGGGUUAAUAAAUGAAAAGGACCUGGAUUAUUUUACUGUCCCACAUGACAUUCAAGGUAAUUAAUUCAAAGAGCUGAAGAUAUUAUAAAAAGAAUACUACAGUGGAUAGCUUGGUAAGAAUCAUUUGUCUCAGCCAGAUAUUAAUCGCGUGUAUAUGCAGAGGCCUGGCAUCCCAGUGAACUUUCCUGGGGUCUAAUGGUCUGAGGGAUGCCAGAGUGAGGGACAAAUUUUUAUAUCCUGCUUUCCCUACUAGUUAAAAAUGUCAUGAAUCCCUGGGACCAUCUUCAGAAUAAUAACUCUUAAGGUUUGAGAGGAAAGUUAUACUGUCUUCGACAACUAAGUAUUUUCCCCUGAGAAACAGCUUUUUAGCCAUCUGUAAUCGGGUGAGCCACCCCUCAUGAGCUGGGUGUCAUCUUACCCACCUAGCCCUGAGGUUGGAUUUACUUUGUAAUACUCCAAUGACAAGUAGAAUUAAUUUUUACACAAACUAUACCUGGGUUGUUUCUGAAGUCCCAAGGGUGAUUCAUAAACAGCUAGCUCACAAUCCCAGUUAGAGACAGGGGGUUAUUCUUCUGCUGCCUCUCCCUCUCUACACACACAACAAUGCCCUUGUCAGGAAUCCUAUAAGAUUAUUUGAGAACAAAACAAUCGAAGCCAACAUUAUGGAUACUUAUUCGAGGACAGUAAGGGCUAUAAGAUGGAUAAGUUCUAUGGAUAUAGUUUACAGCAUGGUGACUAUAGUUCACAAAACAGUAUUGUAUAUUUGAAAGUUGCUAAGAGAAUAGAUCAUAAAAGUUCUUCCGACGAGAAAAAAUGUAUAAUGUUGUGAGGUGAUGGAUGUUAACUAAACUUACUGUGGUCAUCAUUUCACGAUAGAUACAUAAAUUAUUGUGUUGGACACCUUGGGUUAAUAUAAUAUUAUGUGUCAACUAUAUCUAAUAAAACAGGAAACAAUAAAUCUCACCCUUUAAUAAAAACAAACAAACAAACAAACACUACAAUGAGACAGCAUUUCAUGUCCAUUAGGAUGGCUAUCAUUAAAGAAACAGAAUGCAAGUGUUGGUGAGGA